UACGUAGGGGCCUAGCGUUGUCCGGAAUUAUUGGGCGUAAAGAGCUCGUAGGCGGCUUGUCGCGUCGGAUGUGAAAGCCCGGGGCUUAACUCCGGGUCUGCAUUCGAUACGGGCAGGCUAGAGUUCGGUAGGGGAGAUCGGAAUUCCUGGUGUAGCGGUGAAAUGCGCAGAUAUCAGGAGGAACACCGAUGGCGAAGGCAGGUCUCUGGGCCACUACUGACGCUGAGAAGCGAAAGCAUGGGGAGCGAACAGG
rnacentral:rRNA from 1 species